rnacentral:rRNA from 1 species
CUGGUCUCAAAUCAGGUAGGACUACCCGCUGAACUUAA